rnacentral:rRNA from 1 species
GCGAACGCUGGUGGCAGGCCUAACACAUGCAAGUCGAACGGAUCCUUCGGGAUUAGUGGCGGACGGGUGAGUAACACGUGGGAACGUGCCCUUUGGUUCGGAACAACUCAGGGAAACUUGAGCUAAUACCGGAUGUGCCCUUCGGGGGAAAGAUUUAUCGCCAUUGGAGCGGCCCGCGUCUGAUUAGCUAGUUGGUGAGGUAACGGCCCACCAAGGCGACGAUCAGUAGCUGGUCUGAGAGGAUGAUCAGCCACACUGGGACUGAGACACGGCCCAGACUCCUACGGGAGGCAGCAGUGGGGAAUCUUGCGCAAUGGGCGAAAGCCUGACGCAGCCAUGCCGCGUGAAUGAUGAAGGUCUUAGGAUUGUAAAAUUCUUUCAGCGGGGACGAUAAUGACGGUACCCGCAGAAGAAGCUCCGGCUAACUUCGUG